rnacentral:lncRNA from 1 species
AGAAAGUUAAUGGUAUCAACUUCAUAAAAUUGUUCCAAGGAUGGAAUGAGUUAAUACAGAAAUGAAGCCUAGCACGUUGUUCGUGGUAUAAAAGCCUUAGCUAUGUGAAGAACAGGAAAAGAUGAUUGCUUCUCCUGGGGGUGGGGCCAGGCAGAGGUCAGAGGGGCGGUGAUUAUGAAGCCCAUCAUACUCCCGAGUACCACGGCCUACUACUCAUUUAUAAAGGGAUCUCAGCCAGUUAGCAGGCCAGGCAGGGUCACAGCCUGAGGCACUGGAGCUAGUGGCUGGACCACACAGAGCUGAGCUCUGUUGGGAGCAGACCUCAGCCGGGGCUGGGGGUCCAGUCCCUGAAACCCAGCUCCCUCUUGUCCCUGCUGUGAGCCCUUGGACGAGUCGUCACCUCCUCGUGACUUCCUGCCCCAUCCUCAGAAGGUAAAAGCACAUGCCAAGGCCCUGCCCAUGCCCUGUGCUCUCUGUCCCAAAAAAGUGGAUCCAGUCACCCAAGAUCUGUCCCCAGUGUGGCCACAGGCCCAGACAGGCUCCUCUAACUUGAGUGGCCUUGCAGAGCUCAGACGGCCCUGACCCUCCGCCCCCACCACACCCAGGGGCAGCAUCCGAGGGAAGCUGUGAGGGUCUGUGACAGCCCCUCAGAAAGGAGUGGCCCUGCCCCACGAAGCUCCUGAACCUUUUGUCCCCAGGAGACUUGUCAAGGCCCUCCGUGGGCUCUUCCUGUAUCCGCCACUGCCACUGGGACGGCCAAGCAGCCUGACCCUCUCAGCCUCAUGGGUUUUUACCAGGCGCUCUCUCCGGCUCCUCCUCCAAUUCGUGUCACUAAAGAAUGAAUUUGCCAGCCAUCCAUUCAGAACCUCUCUUGGUCUUGGGUCUCAUAUUCCCUUUAGCCAUCAACUCCGACAUGAGGAAAACCUUGUCUCGCAGUCCUCAUCACUGGAACUCACGUCGCAGAACGCUAGACCUCACAGGUCCUUUUAUGUGACAGACAGCCGCACAGCCCAGGGAGGCAGAGUCCCGCUUCCAGUCACACAGCAAGCUGAGGGCCGGCCCCGCAAUGAGGACUUCAUCUCCAUAAGCCGGACAGGCCCAGGCUCCACGGGAUGGUCCCCUGCCACAGGCCAAAACACAAGUCUCCCAACCAGGUCUCCGUGGAAGCCACAAGCCAGCGAGGGAGAAGACUCGCAGACAACAAAUGUGGCCUCCUGCCCCAGGACAGGAGGACAGGCCUCCAACCCAAGCUGUCCUGUCAGGCACCAGAUGGCACCGGACUUCGGGGCUGAAGACGUCAGCUGGACUCAAAGCAGCCCAGCUACAGAAUAACUCCAGUUUGGCCUCUGGUCACAACUGACACUUCAGUGAUCCAGUGAUGCUGUGAUUCUCCAGGACAAGAAACAUCCUGGGAGAACAAACAUCUGCUCAGUUCCUUGUUGUUCUUGGACUGUUAACAUCUUGUUUACCCGAGAUGUACUGAACUCUCUGCAAGCCUUUUGUUACACCUUGUUUAUCCCAAUGUGAACUACUGAACUCUCUGCAAGUCAUUUGUUACAUUUGUUUCUCCCGAUGUACUGAAUUCUCUUGCAAGUCAUUUGUUACGAGGUACCGAAUAAAAGGUGCAGUAAGCUGGGGGCUUUUGUCUUUGCUGCCCUGAGCAGCACUGAUCAGACCCAAAGCUCAGCUUCUUCUCAGUCUCGUUUUUCUACCUUUCCUGUAAUUCGCCGUGUGCUGCCGUGGCCCGCAGGAGACCAGGACUCACUGCAGAGGUUCUGGUAACGUCCCCUUCCCCUGUUCCCUACAU